rnacentral:lncRNA from 1 species
AUGAAUACAGCAGCAUUAAAUCCUGACUGGGAUAAAAUGUUGGAAACAAUGCUGGAUCGCAUUCUAAGGUCUGAACCCACUAAGAUUAAGAAUCACCACAUCUGCAAAAAAUCUGGCCUGAAUUCCCAAGACAUGAACACGGUGGUCAGUCUUCAAGAAGUCACAAGAACCCCCAGGUGCCCUUGGUCUUCUUCUCCAAAAAUGCUCCAUCCUACUCUUUAUUCAAGCUCUUUCUCUCCCAUAGGUACAGACCUUCCCAAAUAA